AUGUAAUGUAAUGCCUACAAUGUUAAUGCACUAGAUCCCAUUAGAACUCCAGAUUUAAGUGUUCUUGGGCUAGAGUAGUACUGGGAUGGGUGACCUCUAAGGAAGUUCUAGUGUUUUACGUG
rnacentral:rRNA from 1 species